AUGUUUACCGGCAGCUUGAUGUCGUGGAACAUCUUCUUGAGCUCGGCGUCCACCUCCAUCCUCGACCUCGGGUCAUCCGGAUUUCAGGGCCUGCAGGUCUUCCAGCACGGAUGGAUACGCGUCCUCCACCUCCGACGCCGGGAGGCCGUCGGGGAAGCUUCCGACGAGCGAGAGCAGCUCGUCUUUGCCCCUGACGUCGUGCGUGCGCUUGUACGAGUAGCGCUCCCCGUCAAAGCGCACCUUGGGGUUGUUCCUCAGGCGCUCGGCGAUGGCGCCAUCGAUGUCGACGCGUGCUGUGUCAUCGGAGAAUCUGAUCUGUGCUCCGGCGGCCAACUUCCUCGCGGUGUUGGUCUCUUUUAG
rnacentral:rRNA from 1 species